rnacentral:rRNA from 1 species
CAGUCGCCGCGGUAAUACGGAGGGUGCAAGCGUUACUCGGAAUUACUGGGCGUAAAGCGUGCGUAGGUGGUGGUUUAAGUCCGUUGUGAAAGCCCUGGGCUCAACCUGGGAAUUGCAGUGGAUACUGGGUCACUAGAGUGUGGUAGAGGAUAGUGGAAUUUCCGGUGUAGGAGUGAAAUGCGUAGAGGUCGGAAGGAACAUCUGUGGCGAAGGCGACUAUCUGGGCCAACACUGACACUGAGACACGAAAGCGUGGGGAGCAAACAGGAUUAGAUACCCCAGUAGUCCCUGUCUCUUAUAC